AAAUAUAUUUAUUUUUAAAUGCAUGUUCAAGAUCAUUUUCAGCACUUAUUUUGAUUAUUUAAUAGUUGCAUGCAGUGGACUGUGCCCGAGACGAUUCCCACUGCGCCGGCGAAUAGUCAGCUUGUAAAAAUGGAAUCUGAAUGCUCAUAAGAAGGACAAAAGCAGUAUGAAAAUUAACACAAAGAAAUUGUGCCAGAAAAGUUUGAAGUGUCUAUAAGAAUGAUCAACAUCGAACUUUCUGAGCCUUCCUACUUAAAGUGAAUCCGUUCGUGACAUGACCAGUUAUUUGGCUACCCUCUAACAUAAUGCCAUCUUUUAUUUAUAUUUUAUUGUGAAUUUCAUGAGAUAUCA